UACGUAGGGGGCAAGCGUUAUCCGGAUUUACUGGGUGUAAAGGGAGCGUAGACGGAAUUGCAAGUCUGAUGUGAAAAUCCGGGGCCCAACCCCGGAACUGCAUUGGAAACUGUAUUUCUAGAGUGUCGGAGAGGCAAGUGGAAUUCCUGGUGUAGCGGUGAAAUGCGUAGAUAUCAGGAGGAACACCAGUGGCGAAGGCGGCUUGCUGGACGAUGACUGACGUUGAGGCUCGAAAGUGCGGGGAUCGAACAGG
rnacentral:rRNA from 1 species